rnacentral:rRNA from 1 species
CCUACGUGAGUCAUCAUUUAUUAAUAUUUUUCAAUUUUCUAUAUCCUUAACCAUCCAAUUCUCUUUAAUGAUGACUGCCCUACUGGUUGUAAACUUCUUUUGUCAGGGAGCAAUUGGGUCCACGCGUGGGCUUAGCGAGAGUACCUGAAGAAAAAGCAUCGGCUAACUCCGUGCCAGCAGCCGCGGUAAUACGGAGGAUGCGAGCGUUAUCCGGAUUUAUUGGGUUUAAAGGGUGCGUAGGCGGAAUAUCAAGUCAGCGGUAAAAAUUCGGGGCUCAACCCCGUCGUGCCGUUGAGACUGAUGUUCUUGAGUGGGCGAGAAGUAUGCGGAAUGCGUGGUGUAGCGGUGAAAUGCAUAGAUAUCACGCAGAACUCCGAUUGCGAAGGCAGCAUACCGGCGCCCAACUGACGCUGAAGCACGAAAGCGUGGGUAUCGAACAGGAUUAGAUACCCGAGUAGUC